UACGUAGGGUGCAAGCGUUGUCCGGAAUUAUUGGGCGUAAAGAGCUCGUAGGCGGUCUGUCGCGUCUGCUGUGAAAACUCAGGGCUUAACCCUGAGCUUGCAGUGGGUACGGGCAGACUAGAGUGCGGUAGGGGAGACUGGAAUUCCUGGUGUAGCGGUGAAAUGCGCAGAUAUUAGGAGGAACACCGGUGGCGAAGGCGGGUCUCUGGGCCGUAACUGACGCUGAGGAGCGAAAGCAUGGGGAGCGAACAGG
rnacentral:rRNA from 1 species